ensembl:lncRNA
CUGCUUUUGCCCCAAAGACACCCACUGAGGAAACCACCUGUGCAGUUCUCUACCUCUGUGGAAAUACCAGCAGAUUCAAUGUAGCCUGGUGCUGUUCCCGUUACCAUCACACAACCCCCAGUGAAGCUGUGCACGGGCAGAGAGCGCUCUUGUCUGUCUGUGGGUACUGUGUAGACCUGCCCUGGUGCCUUCCUUUUUCUCUUGAUCUGCAUCAGCUGUGGGCAUGGAGGUGCUACGAAAGGGAACUCCGCAGCAUCAGUCAGCGAGGCAGGACCCGUCUCUGUGUACGGUGAAGUAUCCGACGACAGGGACAGACUGUGCAGCGCUGCGGGAGAAAGGAGACGACCAACCUGUGCUCAGAUAGAGCCCUCUGCGAAUGGAAAAGGGGUUGUUCAUCCUGGAGGAGGCUUUUAUUCGGAGCACGUGAACCUCUGGAGGCCAACACCAGCCCGCUCGAGCGCUCCCUAAACCAGCGAUCCCAACGUAGAGCAGCCAGGUGGCAGAGCAGAGGAAUUAGAGCCUCUCACCGGCUGCUCAACACUUCGCCCUGGGAAGCAGCUUCGGCAUCAGCCAAGGAAGCCUGCAAGGAACAAAGUGGGGGCAUAGUGGGAGGGCUGCACCGCAGAUGCGGUACCUGCAUGCUACAGCCCUGUGCACACCUGCACCACUCCCCAAUCAAGUACCUGGAUAACAAAGGGCAUCGAAACAUGAUGCACGAACAUCUUGCUAACUUGACAAGGAACAUACAUCAUUUGACCUGCUACUUUGUCUUAUUCGGCUCAUCUCCCAUUUGGGAAUUGCUCAGUGUCUCUGACAACACGGAAGCAUUGCGCAGCAGAGACUGUAACGAACCAUGA